rnacentral:rRNA from 1 species
AUUGAACGCUGGCGGCAUGCCUUACACAUGCAAGUCGAACGGUAACGGGCCUUCGGGUGCCGACGAGUGGCGAACGGGUGAGUAAUGUAUCGGAACGUACCUUUCAGUGGGGGAUAACGUAGCGAAAGUUACGCUAAUACCGCAUAUUCUGUGAGCAGGAAAGCAGGGGAUCGCAAGACCUUGCGCUGAUUGAGCGGCCGAUAUCAGAUUAGCUAGUUGGUGAGGUAAAAGCUCACCAAGGCGACGAUCUGUAGCGGGUCUGAGAGGAUGAUCCGCCACACUGGAACUGAGACACGGUCCAGACUCCUACGGGAGGCAGCAGUGGGGAAUUUUGGACAAUGGGGCAACCCUGAUCCAGCCAUGCCGCGUGAGUGAAGAAGGCCUUCGGGUUGUAAAGCUCUUUCGGCCGGGAAGAAAUCGUAUCAGCUAAUACCUGGUGCGGAUGACGGUACCGGCAUAAGGAGCACCGGCUAACUACGUGCCAGCAGCCGCGGUAAUAC